rnacentral:rRNA from 1 species
GAUGAACGCUGACAGAAUGCUUAACACAUGCAAGUCGAUGGGGAAGUGGUGCUUGCACCAUGGCAACCAUGGCGGACGGGUGAGUAACGCGUAAGGGACUUACCUGCAGGACUGGGAUAACAGGGGGAAACUCCUGACAAGACCGGAUAAUGUCAUGGAGCUGCAUGGCUUUAUGAUGAAAGGAGACGCCUGCGGAGAGCCUUGCGUCCUAUUAGCUAGUUGGUGAGGUAAUGGCUCACCAAGGCGAAGAUAGGUAGCCGGCCUGAGAGGGUGGACGGCCACAAGGGGACUGAGAUACGGCCCUUACUCCUACGGGAGGAAGCAGUGGGGAAUAUUGGACAAUGGGGGCAACCCUGAUCCAGCAAUUCUGUGUGCACGAAGAAGGUUUUCGGAUUGUAAAGUGCUUUCAGCAGGGAAGAAGUAAGUGACGGUACCUGCAGAAGAAGCGACGGCUAAAUACGUG